CUCACUGCAGCCUCAACCUGGGCUCAAGCGAUCCUCCCACCUCAGCCUCCUGAGUAGCUGGGACUACAGGUGCACACCACCACGCCCAGCUCAUUUUUGUAUGUUUUGUAGAGACUGUGUUUUGCCACGUUGCCCAGGCUAUUCUCAAACUCCUGGGCUCAAGUGAUCCUCCCACCUCAGCCUCCCAAAGUGCUGGGAUUACAGGUGUAAUCCACCACACCCAGCCAGAUGCAUUCAUGUCUACAAUAGAAAUACAUCUCUUUGCUGCUAUCUUGAAUUUGUAGACUCCCACAAAUCAAUAAAAAAGAAGACAUCCAAUAAAAAAAUGGGUAGAGGCCAGGCAGUGGCUAACACCUGUAAUCCAAGCACUUUAGGAGGCCCAGGCAGGCAGAUCACUUGAGGUCAGAAGUUCGAGACCAGCCUGGCCAACAUGACAAAACCCUGUCUCUACUAAAAAUAUAAAAAUUAGCCAGACGUAGUGGCACGUACCUGUAAUCACAACUACUCGGGAGGCUGAGACAGGAGAAUUGCUUGAACCCAGGAGGCAGAAGUUGCAGUGAGCCAAGAUCGUGCCACUGCACUCCAGCCUGGGCGACAGAGCAAGACUCCAUCUCAAAAAAAAAAAAAAAAAGGUAGAAACUUAAACAGUCACCUCACAAAAAAGGGUAUCUAAAUAUUAGUUUCUUAAAAAAUAUAAAAGGGGCGUGUAGAUGGCCGAUAAACAUGUAAAAGAUAACUAAUUUAAUCAUUAGAGAAAUGCAAAUUAAAACCUAAAUGAGAUUUUAAUCUCACAUCCAACAGAAUGGCUAAAAUGGAAAACCCAGAAAAUGCCAGAUGUUGGUCAAGAGUUGGAGUAACUGAAACUACACGGCUGCUGGAAAUGUAUAUUGCUAUAACCACUUUGGAAAAUGGGAAGUUCAACAAACAGGCAAACCAAUCUAGAUUUAGGGAUAUAUGUUUAGGUAGUAAAAGUAUAAAGAAAAGAAAUAGUUAGCUUUGCAGGGAGUAGUGCUUGGGAGGUAAUAGGUGCUUCUGGAGUGCUGUUGAUGUUCUGUUCCUAAGUAGGGUGCUAUGGCUUGAGUUUGGUUUACCUGACCCUACCAAGUCUCAUGUUAAAAUUUCAUCCCCAGUGUUGGAGGUGAGGCCUGGUGGGAAGGGUUGUGGGAGUGGAUUUCUCAUGAGUGGCUUCGUAUUCUGUAAGGAGUGAGUUCAUUAAGAGACUGGCACCUCCUCUCUCCUUUCUCUCGCCAUGUGAUCUCUGCAUAUGUCAUCUGUCUGCCUUCCACCAUGAGCAGCCUGAAGCCCUCACUGGAAGCAGAUACUGCUACCAUGCUUCCUGUACAGCCUGCAAAACCGUGAGCCAAAUAAGCCGAACAUUCUAAGACACUGGGAUUACAUGAGUGUUAGCACUCUAUGACUUAAUGAGAAUGGCUCACACCUGUAAUCCCAGCGCUUUGGGAGGCCGAGGCAGAUGGAUCACUUGAGGCCAGGAGUUCCAGACCAGCCUGGCCAACACGGCGAAACCCCAUCUCUACUAAAAAUACAAAAAAUUAGCCAGGCCUGGUGGUGCACGCUUGUAAUCCCAGGUACUUGGGAAGCUAAGGCAGGAGGAUCACUUGAACCCAGGGGAGGCUGCAGUGAGCUGAGAUCGUGCCACUGCACUCCAGCUUGGGCAACAGAGCAAGACUCCAUCUUAAAAAGAAGAAAGAAAGAACUUCUAUUUUUUAAAUGUUUUUUCCUUUCAUUGAACUCCAUUUAUAGCCUUUCCAUUCAGAGCAUAAAGAUUAAAUUUUAAAACAAGGCUUGGCACCCUGGCUUAUGCCUGUAAUCCCAGCACUUUGUGAGGCCAAGGUGGGCGGAUCACCUGAGCUCAGAAGAUUGAGUCCAGCCUGGCUAACAUGGUGAAACCCCGUCUCUAAAAUAGUACACAGUCCUAGAGCAGUGGUGUGCACCUGUAGUCCUAGCUACCUGGGAGGCUGAACCAGGAGAAUUGCUUGAGCCUGGGAGGCAGAGGUUGCAGUGAGCCAAGAUCGCACCAUUGCACUCCAGCCUGGGUGACAGAGAGAGACCCUGUGCCCCUCAAAAAAAUGUUUUUUUUAAACAAGAAUCUCUCAGGCAUACUGAAAUGUUGAAGAGGAAAUUAUAUUAAUAUCUGGGACUUGUUUCCAAAUUUGGAAUUGGGGCAGGGUGUAAAUUGUUGGCAAUAUCAAAGAAACGAGGAGUUGGAAUGAUAAUUGUAGAAGCUGCAUGAUAGAUACACAUUCUUUAUACUUCUGUAUAUGUUGAAAUUUUUUAUCAAAUUAUAAUUGUGUAAUGACUAAUUAUGCUUUCAUUGUCUAUUCUGUGUGGUUAUGUUACUUGCUGAAAUUAAUACAUAAAGAGUCUUCAACUUAAAUGACUUAUCAAGCAUAAAUAUUAAAAUACUGGAUGUUACUACA